ACUCCUACGGGAGGCAGCAGUGGGGAAUAUUGCACAAUGGGCGCAAGCCUGAUGCAGCCAUGCCGCGUGUAUGAAGAAGGCCUUCGGGUUGUAAAGUACUUUCAGCAGUGAGGAAGGCAGGUACGUUAAUAGCGUGCUUGUUUGACGUUAGCUGCAGAAGAAGCACCGGCUAACUCCGUGCCAGCAGCCGCGGUAAUACGGAGGGUGCGAGCGUUAAUCGGAAUUACUGGGCGUAAAGCGCAUGCAGGUGGUUUGUUAAGUCAGAAUGUGAAAAGCCCGGGGCUCAACCUCGGAAUUGCAUUUGAAACUGGCAGACUAGAGUACUGUAGAGGGGGGUAGAAUUUCAGGUGUAGCGGUGAAAUGCGUAGAGAUCUGAAGGAAUACCGGUGGCGAAAGGCGGCCCCCUGGACAGAUACUGACACUCAGAUGC
rnacentral:rRNA from 1 species